rnacentral:ncRNA from 1 species
GUGCUUUGAAGUAGAGAUUGUGCUGCUACACGCCUUCUGGGCCAAAAGAAAUGCGGGAAGGGGCACACCCGCCAAAGCAC